AUGGCCUUAGCAUGUAAGAUCAGUGUGUGGCUCCUCUUGGUAAAGUAGAGAAUGAACACGCACAUGUGUGAGCACACACACACACACGCACACACACAGUCCAUCAAAACGGGGAGAAGUUACUUCUCAAUGUUGUAAAUUUAAAUGAAGUCCGGAGUAGUGAAGGCCAUUUGUAAGGUCUGCUGAGCUAAUGGAUUCAUAAUGACUUUUCAAGCUUCGCUCGGGUAAGAAAUACUGUUCAUUUUUUAAUUGCAUAUAAUUAUACUUUUUCAUAAUCUAGGGCAGCAUAGCAAAAGUAAAUCUACUGGCUUAAUUAUAAAUCUUUUUAUUAUCUGGAACCCUGCUGAAAUAAAAGGAAAGAAACAACUAUUGUGUUUUUUUUUUAAUCUAGUAAAAAGGAUUAAAAAAAAAAAAAACCUCAAUGUUAAAUGAGUUACGAUGUUUUUGAUGGGAGAACACUGGUUUGUUUCACGUUUGAUAUUCUUUUGGUGGGGGCGUGGGGGGAAGGCUGUUUGUAGAAGUGCCCGGACAUUCUGACCUGCCUGUGGUCCAAACUGUCUCCUGUCCUAAGGGAGUGAGCAUUUGCUGGUCUGUUCAAUAAUCUGAGAGAGUCCUUUUUUUAUCCCUAGAGGUGGAGUCUGGGAAGAGCUUCAAGCUUGAAGGUGCAGCAGGUUAGGGGGGGAAGGGGUUGCAUUCUGGGAAGAGGUGAGAAGUCUGAGGAGCUGAAGCUCCCAGGAUCAUACUCGGAUUAUUCUUUCCACUGGGUUUCUCCUCCUGAUCUUCCCGAGACUCUCCUGUGACUCUGUGGCUCGCUCAGAAUGACCCUGGGGAGAAAGAUGCACUUCUGAAGGACACGGGAUGAUAACCUGGCCAGGAAGAUGCGUUGCUUUCAUGGAGAUGAGAUUGGCCGUACCCUUCGUUCCUUGUAGAGUAGAAAUGCUGGACCAAUCACGUGUAAGGGAGCAGCACCAUUCCGGAGGCAUGAGCAGGUUCGGGCCGACGUAACUGUGUCUGAGGCAAGGAGAGCAGGCUUACGAAAACACGGGCAGUUCUCCAUAUUCAACUCUCCACUGUCACCCCACAAGUCAGAGAGGGUCGGAGGCACCUGCUUCCAGGUGGGCAGCAGAGGGCCUGUUAGCGCUGGAGCCUGGGGGAGGCGGGGAGCCCCUGGGCGGCACCAGCCGAGCCCUCGCCGAACCGUCCUGAAGACCUGGCUUCUCCCUGACCCAGAAUUCCACGAUCCCUUGAAAAGGCAUCAAUGCUGGAUGCCCCUUGUUGUUGUUGUUGGUUUUUUUUUUUUUUCCCAACGUUUAUUUAUUUUUGGGACAGAGAGAGACAGAGCAUGAACGGGGGAGGGGCAGAGAGAGGGAGACACAGAAUCGGAAACAGGCUCCAGGCUCUGAGCCAUCAGCCCAGAGCCCGACGCGGGGCUCGAACUCCCGUACCGCGAGAUCGUGACCUGGCUGAAGUCGGACGCGACGCUUAACCGACUGCGCCACCCAGGCGCCCCAUGGAUGCCCCUUGUUUAAGCGAAUCAGGUACUCAGUCAUUGCUGGGGAGGCAGGGAACCCAGAGAGAAAAACUAAUUAAGCUCUUAAAGGCUCGGUAGCCCAUAUGGGCCUGAUGGACAUGGAUGGGGUUGCAGCCCCGUCUCAGAAGAGGGGGACAUUAUCCUGAGAGGCGACGGCGGUUCGCAGUGAACAUCUCUAAAAUCCCUCUGCGUUACUUUUUGCCACUCUGGCCCCAAUUCCGACCCCACGCACACGCCCCCGUGGCACCUCAAGUGUGGGACACGCUAUACAUUCUGUGCUUCAAAUGGCAACCGCCUCUGGUGGCGCGUGCAACCUGUGCCUGGCGCUGGCUGAGAGCCGCUUCUCUCCCUGCAGCCCCUGCUCCGGCAGCCACGUCUUCACCCCCGACGUAGGGGUUCCCUUCUCCUGGUACUUACUCUGGGCUCCAGAUUGCUGUUGUCAGGCCGGUGCUGCCAAAAAGUGGCCCCGAAUUUGAACCCCUCUCUCCAGAAAGAAGCAGAAUCUCACAUCUCCCGUGGAGAACUCCCUUUCAUGCCCUCUGGUGCCUGCAAUCAGGGAGGGGUUCCUGGAAGAGGUGAACUUGACAGUACAAGAGUGGUCGUGAACAGUCAAAGGACAGUCGUGUCCAGAAAGUUGCUUUAGUAACGCAUUAAAGUAAGAACCCCCCCUCCCCGCAAGGGUGAUGAGUUUGGCUAGCCAACCUGAAUCUCACUGGGGAUCAUGCAGACCCAUUUCCUAAGUAUAUGAUGCUUUCCAUCAGCCGGUCACUGAAUCCCGGGGAGUAUGCUUUACUCCUCUGGACUCUCCUCAGAGCAGAUAAGAUACAUGCCAGUUUAGACUCCUGGCACCACCACUUAAGAGCUAUGUGGACUUUGACUUCAUCUUUCUUAAUCUCUAUAUGCUCAUCCAUAAAAUGGGUAUAAUACUAGUGGGCCUGCGGAGUCCUAAGAAUUAGAGAAAAGUCAAGGACCUAGUGAAGUCAGAGGCCUGCUACCUACUCAGUGCUCAACGGGUGUUUUUUGUUUUUUUGGUUUUUUUUUUUUUUGCUGUCUCUGUUGUGGCUAUUAUAUUCCUAGAUUCAGAAAGCUGGGUACACGUUCCUGUUUUUCUCGUUGCUGGCAGCUUGGCCUCGGUUGAGUUGCAUAGUUUUUCAAAGCUUUAGCUCGGGUGUCUGUGAAGUGCAGCUAAUGACUUCUGCCUUAACCAGGUAGCAAGAGGUUUCGCAACAACCAGGAAAGCAAAAGCCUAGCACAGUGAUUUAAACAAGCAGGAAGUAACACCCCCUCACUUACCGAGCCUUCCAGGAUAUGCUGUCGCAGUUGGUUUGGCAGCUUGACCGUGUCAGGACGAGCAUCUUUGGGGCUCUCUGGGCCCUUUUGUACCAGCUUUUCCCUUCGUGGUCCUUAGCUUUUCUAAUUCUUAGAAAUGCCUUGCUCUAGGCACAGAGAAGGGGGAAGAGGAAGGGACAGAAGAUCAGCCUCUCUGUGUCAGAAAGAGGAAAAGCUUUCCCAGAGCCCACCCGGUAAAAGUACACUCACAUCUCCUUGACUGCGACUGGAUGAGGGUCAGGCCAGUCAGCCAGUGGGGUUCGUCCCACAUCCACCGAUGGGGCUGCUGUGAGAACAGACAGGCGAGUGUAUGUUAAAGCAUUUUGUAAGAGCGUCACAAAAGUAAGUUACUAUCCUUACUCUAGCUCUUGUACAAAGGAGAGGCCGGUCAACUGGGUAAGUGAUAACUCUAUCGUUCAGGCCUUUUACCCCCACCGAGAUGAAUGGAAGACAUUCUGGAGGCCAUGGUUGUUUUAGUACAGGCUCCUAGGUCAUAGCCUCUUUCUGACCGAGCUGCGGGUUACCCGUUUCAUUUUGCUAGUGGGAUGAGGCUUGAAUUGGGUUUGGUGACUUCAAUUGUCUCUGCUUGAUGUAAGUGGAAGGCUAUGUUUCUAGGUAAAUAUGGUGAAUUUCUAGUGCCCAGCAGGAGGUAUUCCUGAAAGGCUCAUUCACCAGUAAUGGGGUGAUGUUACAUUAAUCAUAGGUAGUCUUCUUAAUGUGUGCCCUCCCAUUCUUGUACCCUCAUGACAUCCUUAAUAAGCAUCUGCUAUCUUUAACAGCUUUAUUGAGGCAUGAUUUACAUACCAUAAAAUUCGCUAAGUAUACAAUCGAAUGAUUUUUAGUAAAUUGACACAGUUGUGCAACCGUUACUACGAUCCAGUUUUAGAACAGUUCAGUCUCCCCUGAACAAUCCUUCCUGCCCGUUUCCAGGCAAUCUCUACAACCCCACCCGCUCUCACCAGUGCUCCAGGCAAUUACUAAGCUACUUUCUGUCUCUAGAUUGCCUUUUCUGGACAUUUCGCACCAACAGGAUUGUACAAUAUGUAGCCUUCUGUGUCUGGCUUCUUUCACUUAGCAUGUUGUUGAAGUUCACCCACAUCGUAGCUAUCAGUCGUUGGUCCAUUUUUGUACGGAUGAAUAGUCGAUGAUGAACAUUUUAGUUCCUUCCACUUUUUGCUCCUUAUGACUUUUUGCUCCUUAUGAAGAUGCUGCUGUGAACAUUCAUAUGUAUGUCUUUUGUGGACACAUAUUUUCCUUUCUCGUGGCUAGAGAUCUAGGAAAUGAGUUGCUGUGUCAUAUAACUUUAUGUUUAACAUUUUAAGAACCUGUCCAACUAUUGUCCACCUUUUACCAGAUUGUUACAUUUGUUACUGUCGAUGAACCUACACGGACACCUCAUCACCCAAAGUCCAUAGUCUACGUUACAGGGUUCGCUCCUGGUGUUAUACACUCUGCGGGUCUUGACAGAUGUAUGAUGGCAUGGAUCCACCAUGACAGUAUUGUAGAGUAGUUUCACUGCUCUAAAAACCCUCUAUGCUCUACCUGUUGAUCUGCCCUUCCCCUCAGUCCCUGGCAACCACUGAUCUUUUUACCAUCUCCAUAGUUUUGCCUUUUCCAAAAUGUCAUGUGGUCAUUCACAAAGUCUGUAGCCUUUUCAGGUUGUUGUUGUGUUUUCACUUCGUAAUAUGCAUUUUAAGUGUCCUCCAGAUCUUUUCGUGGCCUUCACCAGCUUAUUUCUUUUUAGCCCCGAAUACUAUUCCAUUGUAUGGAUGUACAUGUAUGUAUCCAUUUACCCGUUCCUACUGAAGGACAUCUUGGUUGCUUCCACGUAUUGCCAGUUAUAAAUAAUUAGUUGCCAUAUGUGCAAGUUGUGGUGUGGACAUAAGUUUUCAACCCAUUUAGGUAAAUAUCAGUAUGCUUAUUGGAUCAUAAGUGUACGUUUAGUUUUAUAAGACACUGCCAACCAGUCUUCCAAAAUGGUUGGGCCAUUUUGCAUUCCCAGCAGCAAUGAGUGAGAGUUCUCUUGCUCCACGUCCUCACCAGCUCUUGCUGCUGUGUGUGUUUUGGAUUUUGACUAUUCGAAUAGGUGUGUAGUGUCGUCUUUUGGUUCUUUUUAUUUGCAGUUCUGCAGUGGCACAUGAGGUGGACCAUCAUCUCAAAUGCUUAUUCACCACGUGUAUAUCUUCUUAGGUGAGGUGCCUGUUCAGGUCUUUUGCCCAUGUUUUAACCAGGCUGUUCGUUUUCUUAUUGCUGAGUUUCAAAAGUUCUUUGUAUGUUUUGGAUAACAGUCCUCUCUGUCAACUAUGUCUUUUGCAAAUAUCUUCCCUUCGUCUGUGACUUGUCUUCUCAUUCUCUUUCUGCCCAUUUUUCAGUUGGGUUGUUUGCUUUCUUAUCAUUGAUUUUUUGAAAAGAGUUGUUUCUGUGUUCUGGAUACAAGUUAUUUUAUCAAAAGUAUAUGAUUUUCAAAGCGUUCUCCCACUGUGUGGCUUAUCUUUUCAUUUGCGUAAUGGUGUCUUUUGAAGUGCAAACGUUUUUAAUUUUGAUGAAAUCCAAAUUCUUAAUGCAUUCCUUUAUGGAUCAUGCUUUUGUUGUUUAUCAGGAAACUCUGCCUAACCCAAGGUCACAAUGGUUUUCUACUGUGUCUUCUUGUAAAAGUUUUAUAGUUUUAACUGUAACAGUUAGGUCCAUAUCAAUUUGGGGUAAAUUAUUGUGGUGUGAGGCAAAGGUCUAAAUUCACACUUUUGCAUGUGACUAUCCAACUGUUUCAGUACCAUUUGUUGAAAAAACUAUUCUUCUGCCACAGAAUUGCCUUGACAUCUUUUAAAAAAUAGCAAUUGACCAUAAAUGUAAGGGUUUACUUCUGGACUCUCAAUUCUGUUCCAUUGAUUUAAAUGUCUAUCCUUAUGUCAAAGCCACACUGUGUGGGUUACUGUAGCAUGUUUCAAAAUCAGGAAAUGUAAAAUCCAUAGUACUCCAACUUUCUUCUUUUUCAAAAUUGUUUUCGCUCUUCUUCAUUUCUUGCAUUUCUCUAUAAAUCUUGAGAUUGGGGUGUCAAGUUUCUGAAAAAAAAACCUGCUGAGAUUUUUAUAGGGAUUGUGUUUCUAAUUAGAAUAAUUUGGGAAGAAUUACCAUUUAAUAUAUUAAACGCUUAUUAUUUAUUUUGAGACAGACAGAGAGAGAGAGAGAGGGAGAGGAAGAGGCAGAGAGAGAGGGAGAGAGAAUUCCAAGCAGUCUCCACACUGUCAGCACCGAGCCAGAGUUGGGACUUGAUCUCGGGAACUGUGAGAUCAUGACCUGAGCCGAAGUCAAGAGUCAGAUGCUUAACCAUUGAGCCACCCAGGUGCCCCGCCAUUUAAUAUUUUCAAAUCUCCUGUCCGCGACCGUGGAAUGGCUCUUCAUUUAUCUACAACUUCUUUAAUUUCUCUCAAUGAUGUUUUUUAGUUGGCAGCAUAUGAAUUUUUCACUUCUUUGGUUAGAUUUAUUCCUAAGUGAUUUAUUGUUUUUGAUACUAUUGAAAAUGGGAUUGUUCUCUUAAUUUUUUUUAAUUUGGAUUAUUGCCAGUAUAUAAAAAGAAAAUUAAUUUCUGUAUAUUGAUCUCCUAUUCUGCGACCUCGUUGAAAUCAUUUAUUAGUUCUAGUAAUUUUUUCGUAGAUCCCUUAGGAUUUCUUUACAUAUAGGGUCACCUACAAAUAAAAGUAGUUUUUCUUCCGUCUUCCUUCCGAUCUGAUUGCCAAGUAUCUGUUCCUCGAUUUGAAGUUUCAUAAAACACUCAAGAAGAGUACAGAGGAGGUCUCCAGGGAAGAUCAUGUGAUGAGCAGGGUGGGAGGCGGGACCUGACCGUUGGAGCUCUGCGGCAGAGGGGAUGGGGAGUUUCUCAUUAAGCUGUGGUGACUUUAGGCUCCCUUCUUCAUUUCCCAAGGUGCUAGCAUGAAGGAACCGCCAGAGAAAGGCAUGCCAGGGUUUGAUGGUAGAAAGUUCGAUGGAGAGACAGAAGAUGUAUUAUUGUUGAGGCCCUUUCCGUGACAAUUACUCUACUCCAGUAUGGGUUUUUUUGUUUUUUUGUACUUUGUUCCAUGAAGACAUGGUUUGUUCCUCUCCCAUUAAUGUGGAUGUCCUCUUCUGCUAAGCAACGACUGGCCGGUACCCCACCCCUUCCAAAUGGACAUGGGGAACUAAUGACACAGUGGAGGCCAGUGAACAGUCAAGAAGGCCUUGUGUACGUGAGCGUAUCGACUUCCACGACAGUGGUUCCAGACUCGAACGGCCACGCUUCCUCCUCUCCAGUGAAGUGCCUUUUAAAUAAUCCCUCAUUAUUUCACAUGCAAUGGCUAUUAUGGCUAUGUGAGCUGUUAUCUAUUUAUGUUGACUAUUAAUAAAUUAUUAGACCAUAUUGUGUGGGUUUUAAUAACUCCAUAGGAAGAGAAGCGUGGCCAGGAGGUGAAAUCUCAAGCAAUUACAAAUUCAUAGGUUGAGUUAAUUUUUUUUUCUAACACACAGAAGCUGUUCACUUACAAGUAAAUUAAAUACAUAGGCCCGUUGCCCUUACUUAGAAUUCUCGUCGUGCAGAGAGAAGAAACUCACAGCAGAUGCACGGCUCCUGGUGGGAAGUACCUGCGGGGAGUAGGCUGUCGCAGGGACUGCCCAAGGCAAGACCCAGGGCUUGUUAGGUUGCCUGCCUUGAACCUUGUCCUUGUGUGUGGGCCGAAAACCUCCAUCAGGACAUGAAUGUUGAUGGUCGCGGUCAUAUCUGGGUGAGACUAAGGAAGGCUUUUAAAAUGCACUAUUCUAAAUCAGCCUUGAAAUACCGGCCCCCGAACUGGCCCAGUUGACUGCUUCCCAGAUGAGACUCAGGAAGCCACACUGUACCACUUGCACACAUGUCCUUGCUUCUUCUAGACAAACCGGGGAGAGGCUCUUUGAAAGUCAGGAUUAGAGUGUCAGCCCGGGAGAUUCUUGAUGAACUCUGCUCCGAGGGGUCAGACAGAGGCAGAGAAAGCACCGGGCUUCAGCCGCAAAAUGGAAAUGGACCCAAAUCAUUUUCUUGUCAGCCAGGAUUUGAAAAUCAAUACCCAGCCUCCUUGAUACAUUUUUAUUCUUUUUCUUCUUCUCUGGCUGUCUGCUGAGGGUGAUGACAGAUUUCCUUCUCCGGGUAGCUGUGGAAAUGAAAUCCUCCUACCCUCCUGGGGACAAGAGUGCCGUGUCCACACCCAUGCAGGUUUGGAGCACAGCCUCCACAGCAAUCUGGGCGGCAGGUCGCCACGGUUCUGCAAACCACUUCUGCUCCUCUCCUCCUGGCUGUGAGGGGUGGAGUCCGCCUUGCCUCCCUUGUUGCUAACAUCUGCAAACCAGUGACAGUCUUUCCUAUGAUGUCAUGAGGAAGAAUGAAUAUUGGUACAUGGCUGUUGCCAUUCCUUACUCGAGUUAUUCACACGAUGAGUACUGAGUGCCUGGGAGGCUCAGUCGUUAAGCGUCUGACUUCCGCCCAGGUCAUGAUCUCACGGUUCGUGAGUUCGAGUCCUGCUUCGGGUGAGCUCCAGCCUCGCAUCUCUGAGCUCGAGCCCCACUUCAGAUGAUCAUGAGCCCUGCUUUGGGUGAUCCCGCUUCUCUCUUUCCCCAUCUCUCUCUCUCUCUCUGUUUCUGCCCCUCCUGGGAUUCUCUCUCUCUCUGCCCCUUGAUCACUUUUGCUCUCUCUCCUCUCUCUCUCUCUCUCUCUCUCUCGAAAAAAAAAAAACACAAGAUGAGGACUACUCAAGAUCUUUACUCUUCCCGUUGCUGCUAGAGAACAGAUUUGGACAUAACAGGGGUUCAUUCUCUAGGAUACCAUCGUAGGGUGUUUAUAUAGGGGAGUGCUUGAAACAUACAUAUUAUGAGGGUGCCCCAAGUGUAGAGCCCACAGCACCUUGGUCUCCUGGAGUAUGGGGGGGUUCUUAUUUCUAACCCCCCCUCUUGUUCUCGUAGUAACAGUGAAUGCUGCAUAGUAAUCGACACGAAAGGAGGGGAAAAAGGAAAGAGGAGGGUGAGAAAAGAUGGGUAAGAGAUUCCAGUCUGUCCACUCAUUCCCUCAGUCUUGAUUUCGGGACACAUCAUGUGCCAGGCAUCCCUAAUGGGCGCUGGACAUACAGCAGCACCCAAGGCACAGACCCUUCUCUCAAGAAGCUUCUCGACAAGCUGGGGAGGCGGGCAGUAAAUGUAAGCAGACAGACAUAGAUGGUGCGCCUAAGUCCUGUGCUCGGAUAGGCACAGAGGGCUGUGGGAGCUCAAAGGGAGGGUGCCCAGUUUCCCCAAGGUUUCUGAGAGGUGACAUCUACACUUGUCAUGUGUGAGAGUGGGAGAUGGGUAGGGAAAUUGGGCCAAGGGAAGUCCAUGCCUAAGAAAGCUUAGAGAAAAAUGACUGGCCUAGCCUGGCAAUUUCCAGGUGCGCUGUGUGACUGGGAAAGAGCAUGGAGAGGAGAGUGGCAGGCCACAUGGCUGGUGUGUUAACCAGUCUACAGAUCAUGAAGAGCCCGGUGAGAGGCCAUGUGAAGGAUUUGGGACACAUCCCUGAGAGCAGGGAAGGCCGUGGGGGUAACCCAUGCGGGCUACCCUUGGAGAAACUUCGAGGGAGGAAAGGAGAGCCCCUACCACAGGGCUCUGGGGAGCUCAGGAAGCUAAGGAGAGGCUUGCCCUCAACUCUGGAGGAGAACAGGAAGGUCACGGGCACCCAGCAUGGACUUGGAGACAGUUGGGAGUGACCCAGGUCCAAUGCACCGAACACGGGGCUCGACAGACAAGGGUGGGAUCCAAAGAUUACAAAGAAUGGAGGAAAAGAAGGCUUUGGAGAGCACAAUGGGGUUCAUUCAUGAACUUACCAGGUUGCUUCUGUUACCACAGUAACAUGUCAAGGGUUUUUGCGGAUCUGGGAGAAUAAAAAAAUCCCUGCGUUACAGUACUCAAAGCAAAUUAGGUCACUGUUACGAGUUAUUAAUUUUAAUGUAUUAAGAAAAGUGUGCAGGGGGGAGUGAAGUGUUUUUUUUUUUUAAACACAGCAAAUGGGAAGCAGCGAAAAGUACAACAAUAAUUACGCUGAAAGCGAAGUGAAGUGUUCCAUAAAAUGUAAGAAAUGAAGAAAUUACACACCCCUCCUCCCUUCUCCCUCAAGUGUGGUUAGGAGUCGGUGCGGGGGGUGGUGGGUGACUCUCCCACGGCCUUCUGAUGCAAUUAUGAGCUCUCAUUUCACUUCUUUGUGUUAUGUCGCGAGGUGUUACUGAAGCCCGGAUGAAAUCCCGCGUCGGAAAGAAAGCACAGAGGGGCAUUUUUCUGGGCUGGGUUAUGUUUAGCGUGGAAUCGCUCGUAGGCGAAUGUGCAGUCUGAGGAGGGGAAAUUGGAAGCUGUGAAUAGAUUCUCCAGGAACUUUCGUACCCACGGGGACUCCAGGCAGGCCAGGGUUUUUGGUUUCUGGGCCUGUUUGACUCGCCCUGGCAGCCUACCUCCCGGCUGCAGAAAGCUGCAAAACUGGGUCAUGUGCUGCUCCAGCGUGAAGAGGCGGCUUUGGGUGGUUUUGUCCUGUCUCCUUUGACUUCCUGUUGCUGCUGCUGCUGUUGUUGUUUCAUUUGGCUGUUUUCUGUCCGAUUGGUUUUGCUUUGCAGUUUCGGAGGGCAGUCAGAAAUUCCUCCUUCCAGAUGGUGUCGCGUGUGAAAUUGAUCUCCUUUAUCCUAGACACGAAAGGUCUCCCUCCCCCGCUGACCCUGCGUCCCUCUUCCUGAACACACCUGCGUCACCCACGUGCCCACGCCUUUCCCCCCGUCACUCCCCAUCAGGGUGACAUCACUCCCCGUCAGGGUGACAUUCGGGUUUAGGUGCGUUUUAGGCUGGGGCGGAGAAUGGAGGGCUCAGCUCUAGGCUGCGGCUUGCUCCUUGAGACACUUCUCUCCUUUCCUUGCAAGAAAAUCCCGUCUCAUGUGCCUUUUCUCCUCUCUCUGACCACACUGUGCGUCGUCCCUACUCUCUGAUCCCACUCCCUGCCCACAUUCUUUUAAAAAAAUGUUUUUUUAUUAUUUAUUUUGAGAGAGAGAGAGAGAGAGAGACUAUGAGAAGAGGGGCAGAGAGAGAGGGAGAGAGAGAGAAUCCCGAGCAAGUUCAGCAUGUCAGUUCAGAGUCCCACGCGGCAGUCAAAGCCACGAACCAUGAGUUCACGACCUGGGCCAAAACCAAGACUCUAACGCUUAACCGACUGAGCCACCCAGGCGCCUCAUCCUUGCCCACAUUCUUUUUUUUUAAAUGCUUUAUUUUUUUAAGUGUAUUUAUUUAUUUUGAGAGAAAGAGAGAGCGAGACAAUGAGUGGAGGAGAGGCAGAGAGAGAAGGAGAGAGAGGCUCUGAAGUGGGCUCUGUGCCGACAGCAGAAAGCUUGAUGCAGGGCUCGAACCUAUGACCCAUAAGAUCGUGACCUGAGCUGAAGUCGGAUGCUUAACCUACUGAGCCACCCAGGUGCCCCUUUGCCCACAUUCUUAAAAGCCCUGAAAGGAAUCUCUUGUCUGGACUCCAACACCACCUCACCCUGUUCUCUGUUUUCUCCAGACUUCCUUCCUUCUUUCCUUCCUUCCUUCCUUCCUCCCUCCUUCCCUUCCUUCCUCCUUCCCUCCCCCCUUCCCUUCCUUCCUCCCUCCCCCCUUCNNAUUUAUUUAUUUUGAGAGAAAGAGAGAGCGAGAGAAUGAGUGGAGGAGAGGCAGAGAGAGAGGCUCUGAAGUGGGCUCUGUGCCGACAGCAGAAAGCUUGAUGCAGGGCUCGAACCUAUGACCCAUAAGAUCGUGACCUGAGCUGAAGUCGGAUGCUUAACCUACUGAGCCACCCAGGUGCCCCUUUGCCCACAUUCUUAAAAGCCCUGAAAGGAAUCUCUUGUCUGGACUCCAACACCACCUCACCCUGUUCUCUGUUUUCUCCAGACUUCCUUCCUUCUUUCCUUCCUUCCUUCCUUCCCUCCUUCCUUCUGUCUACCAGUCAGAGAUUUUCUCGUGACUCCCACGCCCAUAGUAUGGCCUUAACCUUUAACCUAAGCUCAGAGGAACCAGUGAGGUGCCAACAUCCACAGAGAUCGUAAGCACUACGAAACCAUUUGUUUUAAAAACUAAACUCUUCUCCUAAUUUUAUCCUCCCCAAGCAAACAAAUAAAACAACCUGACUUCUUUUUUAUUUCUUACCAUCACUGAAAAACAACAUGUAUCUCCCUGCCUGUUGCUCGGGUGAGGGGCCUUGAGUUAGCUGAGUUUCACCCCUUCUCUCUGAGCAUGACGAACGCUUCUGAAGAAGCCGUUGAUUGUCCCUCUCCUCCUGCUGCUAUCAGUCCUGGGCUCCAGCCCUCGCCCUCUCCAGCCCAUGUACAGCUCUCUAGAACACAGGAUCAGUCUGCAGGGCCCCCCAUCUCUGGGCCAUUCUCUGCAUGGAUUUCAGAGUUUUUCCAGAACCUGGCCCUGACUGGGACAUUCCCUGCCCGUAGACGGAAGAGCUUCCUUUGUCUCAAGAUGAAGGAGGAAGCAUUUCCAGGCCCAGUGAAAUCUGGCCUCCACCGGUCAACUUCCACACUCUUCAUUUCUCGCUACUCUUCCCCACCCCGUGAUCUAGUCACACGUCUGCUCUUCUCUAAAUGCCCUGUGCAUGCGCGUAUGUCUGAAUCCUUGCUCCCCAUUUCCGUCUGUUGGAAUCCAUCCCGUGUCCUCUCUACCCAGCAAGUUCCCACUCAUCCUCAAUGCCACUGAAGCCACGGCGAAGACCGAGUCUCCCUUCUCUGGACUCUUGCAAAAUACCUGUACUGUAGCGCGUAUCACAACACGCUGUGUGCGUGCACACUUCUGGCUCACCCUCGUUAGAUUGUGGACCCCUUGAGAAGCACUGUCUUUGAACUCUCACCCCAAACAGGAAAACUUCGUCCUUUAUUAUUCUUUGUUUGUAUCUUACUCUUUUCCUCGACUAAAUUCUCCACUUAUAAUGGAAAAGUUGGGCGGGUUCUUCAUAGCCUACUUAAGCCCGUUGAUCCCAAAGAUGGCAAGACAGAAUGAAGUGUGAGACAGAAGGGCUGGAAAUAUGGCUCAGAUGGUGUCCUCUGGGUGACCGUCUUUCUCUAAGGUCACAUGUUCUAAGAAUGGAUACUCUGAGAGCCUGAGAACCCUUGAGAGCUCCAGAUGGAUGACAAAACCAGUUCUCGUGCCUAGCUUUUAUGUGACUCUUGCUGCAAGUUCAGGGGCUCUGGGGAUGGGUAGGGGAGGGGGAGGAAAUCCUUGAAAUUCUGGUUUCUUUUCUCCUCUGUUAUUAAAUGGCUGUAUUAAAAGCCAUGUCCACAUCUUUCUGUAAAGUAGUCCGAAGGCAGAGAGGGCAAAGGAGACCUUGCAUCUUUCAUUUACUAAAAUGAUGCAUUAUUUUUAUCAGAAAGGGAGAGAGAAAAACAUGUAAGCCUGGGAGAAUUUCACAGGAGUCCCGACGGAUCCCAUGCCCAGCGCCGCUGAGUAGGAACACGUAUGGAAUGGUGUGUGGGAUUGGAUAGCACGUAUAAAUAUAUUCGUGUGUACACACACACGAUCAGAAAUCCAGCCGGUAUUUGUUGAAUAACCAGGUGUGCAGCGUGAGUGCGUGCGUGUGUGUGCGUGCGGGCGUGUGCGUGUGUGUGCGUGCAUGUGUGUGCGUGCGGGUGUGUGCAUACGUGCCACAUGCUUUUCCUUUCAGUCAUUUGUGUGACCCCAUCUCAGCUGUCUAGCACAUUCUGGACAGUGGGGAGGGGGGAAUGGACUUUUUUUUUUUUUUUCAGAAGCUAAUUUACCUUGUGAGGGCAAAGCUCCAUUUUAAUUGAUUCUCUCUUUCAAGAUCCAAGUAACCUAUAAUCUCCACUCAAUUGUCAAUAUUUUGCCGGCAUCAUCCCUCAGCCUUUAACAUGCAGAUGGAGUGGGGAAAAAAGCGGCUGUCGUAGCUCAGGAUGAAAAGCAAGAGCGGCUCAGGGUAAUAAUCUGCUUUUGAUUUUUUUCCCUUCCUUUGCCUACACCCUCUCUCAAAUCCACUAAAACGGGGGAAAAUCCAUAGCGAUUAGAAAAACUUCUGACCGAGACAUCUUUCUCCUUUCUCUUUCAUUUUUUUCUCACCCUCUUUAGUAUUCAGAAGCCACCCAAACAUCAGAGGUUUCCACGAUGCUCGGCUGUGCAUGGCAUCCCAAACAGAGUGGGAGAAGACAUUCCCACUGGACAUUUUGAGGUGCCUUUUGGGCCAGUUCCAGGUGGCUUCCAGCACACUCCCAGGUGCGAUUCUAGCAGCAGGUCACUGGGAUAGGGAUGGCAAUGGUCCGGGGCCUUCUGCGGAGGCAAAGAGGACACGUAGGGAUAGCAGUGCAGCAGGGAACAGUCCCUGACUCUACUCACUGGGUCUUUCAGCAGCCCCUCAGAGCCAUGGCUCUUCCCCGGGGAAAAGCCUGGGAGGUGAGACCUUGAGGUUUUAUGGUGACUCCACAAAGAGCUGCAUGGGUCACCUGUGACAGGAAAAAUCUCAGGUUAACAAAGGAGACUCUAUGAUAUCGGGUACGUGCUAGGAAUGCUUAGUGUUAACAUUCAUUCUCACAACCCAUGAGCCAGACAGUCUUCUCCCCAUCUUCCAGAAGAGGAAACUGAACUGUUUGGCUAAAGUGGCCCAACCAGCAGGUGGCCAAUCCAGGUUUCAAACCCAGCUGUACCUGCUCCUGCCCUUCGUUACCAGCAGGGCAUCGUGGGCCUCCACUGUCCUAUUAAUCAGCAUCUCCGCUCCUGGGGAGGUGGGCCGGGGCCUGAUGUGACAUGUGGACGAGGAGUCUAAGGCCUGGGGACAUGGAAGAAGGGGAGGGUCACGCAGGGCUGGUCGCCAGGGGAAGACGGCCAGAGCAUCUCGGUGUGAUGACCGUCCUGCAUAAGACAGUUUGGAUUCUGGACGUGGAGGUGCCAAGUCCGGGUGUGUCUGUUUUCUGUUGGCCUCAACCUGGCCGACAGCCCUGUUCUCUGAUCGCUGCAGACCCAAUGAGGAAGGCAGGUGCUGGGAGCACACAGUGGCAGAAGGGGGAAGGAGAAGACAGGUACUUGCACUCACAGGGCCUUGGCCAGGGGGCAGUGGAAGAGACGUGAGGGAAGGAGAUGCUUUGAAGGCUCUUAACUUGGCCAAGUCCCCAGUGGCGACUCUGGGAUAUUGGCCGUCCUGAGCCCUGUGGAGAACGAAGCCAGGGGACCGGUGGUCAUUGACAGCAGGGAGACUUAAUACCAGGGAGGAGAGGGCAGACUGGGCAAGCUCCCAGUCACUGACAUCUGCUCUCCAGAUCAACCCUUGUGCUGAGCUCACUCCAGUCCGAUGGCCUCUUCCAUUUAAUCCAUAAAUCCCCCUGUUGCCUCACGUGGCCUCUAUGACUCCAUGCCUCUGUCGUGGGGUAGCCACGGAACUUUUCUGCUGUCCUCUCCAUCCCUUUUACACUCCCAGGCUCCCAUCACUGACUUGCGUGCUGGAGAAAAGCCGAUGCUUGCUGCUGCCUGGAAGCCUCAUUGUGACCGUGUGGCCCCCACGCACCUGUCAGGACACAGGCGCACGUGCAGUAGAUCCCACAGCAUUGACAGCCUGAGGAAAGGGCAGGGGAACCUUCCAGUUACCAGUAGAUUGUAAUGGUGUGUGGCAGGGGGAGGGGUGGCAGGGGUGCAUCUCUGAAAGGGCUGGCAUGAUCCUGUCAACCUUCUCCCUUUUCCUUGUGGAAGGAGGGAGCGUGGAAAAGCACACAGCAGUCUCCAGGAGAGCCCCUCUCAAGACCCUGUGCACCCCCUUUUGCUUUUCCCUGAAGCACAGCCCCGAGGGAUUUCCUUUUAUUCUUUUCCUGCCUCUCUUACCACACUAAACACACACACACACACACACACACACACACACACACGGCCACAAUGAAUGUCUGUGCUGUUGCAAAGUGAAAUGUGUUAACAACAGCCUCCAUUCUCAAGAUCCAGAGAAACAAACCAGGAGGGGUGGAGAAAUGAGGGGAGUGUGUUAGUGAGACAGGGGUGAGCACACAGCCGGCUUCCAGUCACCGCCAUCAAGCCAUGGCAGGGGUGAGGGGGGGCAUCAGGGCGGCCACAUUUGCUUAGAGAGACAGGGACUUUAAUGGAGCAAAGAGUCUGUGUUUUUCUCUUUUUUUUUUUAACGUUUAUUUCUUUUUGAAGGAGAGAGAGAGAGCGUGAGUGGGUGAGGAGCAGAGACGGAGGGAGACACAGAAUCCCAAGCAGGCUCCAGGCUCUGAGCUGUCAGCACAGAGCCGGACACAGGGCUCGAACCCACGAACCUUGAGAUCUGACCUAAGCCAAAGUCGGACCUUCACCGACUGAGCCACCCAGAUGCCCCGAGUCUGUUUUUUCCUUUAACCCUUCUUCCAGAUCCCCCAGAUGACCCUGCCUUUCAGUAAAUGCUCCUCUGGGCCAGUUUCAGGGAGGAAGUAAACAGAAGCUGAAAAGUAGCCUGUGGGUUGAGUAUGUGAGGCCAAUGAGCAAAUGAGCAAAUACAAUAAUGACAUAACAUUAGUGGGCAUUAGACUUCCUGUGUGUCUGGAAAUCCUCUUAUGUUAGAUCCCAAUCAUUUUGUUCAUUGAACAAAUAUUUUUGGAGCACUUGGUAAGCAUCUGGCACCACGUUAGGUGCUGGGAGGGAGCUCUCUGAAGGAUGUAAUCAGGAGAGUUAGAAGGCCUGAUGUGUGUUUUGAAAGGUCAGUCUCUCUACAGUGAUGAGGAUAGAUGAGCCAGAAGAGGAAAUGAAGGCAGGAAAUCAGUUGGGCGGAUUCAUCCAGGUGAGAGAUGGUGCUGGCCUGAGCUAAGAAAGUGGGGAAGGAACAGAGGGGUAGAGUCAGGACAUUUCUGAUCCACCAGCCACAAAAUCCUUGUUUAUUAUUUACUCUCCGUAAGGCACAAGUGUUGGGAAUGCAGUGAUACAAAUAUUUAUGAGUAAGAUACAAAGAAUGCAGGGAUCGCCCGUAAGGAAAAGAAGAUGCCAUAGACGACUGGCACUCUAGUUUCUGGGUGGACCGAAGAGCCAUUCACGGUGAUGGAGAUCAUGAGGAGGAGAAGAUUUGGGGGCAAAACCCUGAGUUCCAUUUUUGACGUGUUGAGCCAGAGUUGCUUACGGGAUCUCCAAUUAGAGAUGUCCAGGAAAAAGUGUGGCUGUAGGGGGCUGGGGCUUCAGAAAAGAAUGAGCUUUGGGGUUAUGGAAAGAACCUCGGCAGAAUCCUCAGUGAAUGCCAACAUUUAAGAAAAGGGUUAAAAGAAAAAAUAAGAGUCCAUGAGUGGACUGGGAAGAAACAUCCAGAAAAGUAACAGGAAAACCGGGAGAGCAUGCUGUCAUAGAUGUCAAGGCAGGAUUGGUUCAGUGAGAGAGAAAUGACUCUAGUGACAUUGAGACAACCCGUGGCCAUUGGAAUUCAGAGCCACAAGGUCAGUUAAACCUCAGAGAAAGACGUGUAGGAGGAAGCAUAGACACAGACACUGAGAGGAGAAAAUGGGGAAGUGGCUGCAGAGGAAUACCAGGUGAAGGGACAGUGGUCAGUGCCGCCCUGUUUUUAAGAUGGGAGAUGUUGUCACAUAUGUGAAUCCUGUGGGGAAGAAGGAGAGAGGGUGAAAUGGACAGGGCUCGGUCCUAGAAGUUGGAGGACGGAGAAUCCACACCACAGACGGAAGGAUUAGCCUUUCACUUGUCUCAUAUAACAGGAGGGAAGGUGGGACAUGUGAGUACGGGUGAAGUCAAGAUGAGGAGUUUGGAUAUAAGACAUUGAGAAAAUACUUACCUGGUGACAUCUGCUUUCUCUGGGAAGCAGAGAGAGGUCGUCUGCUGAGAGUGGGAGCCAGGCAAGAAGCAGUAAAGUUUAAGAAGAGUGGAGAAUGUUUGAUUUAGCCUUUGUGGGGAGUGGCAGGGAGAUCUAACCAUAGAAGCACAGAAGUAUUGGGGAGACGGUGUCGGAGGGGGCAUCGAAGGUCGCAGAUCAGACACACAAAUGUGGCCAGUCCGCGUGCUGGGAUGAUUAUCUCUGGCUCCUUGCAGCUUCCCAGGAUUAGGCGCAGGGGAGGGAGAUCGUGAAGUGAUCUGGGGUUGGGGAUUUCUAGGAAGGUAAGCAUUAGGGACGAGCGGUAAAUGCGGUGGAUGAAGCUAUGGACCAUGGAGUCUGAGCUGCAUAGGGAAGAAAGUGAAUGUACGGGGUGGGGUCUGUAGGUUAGGGAGAGAGUAAGGAGGCCAUAGAGGGAGUGAUGACCAAGAACAUCACGGUCUUAAAACUUACUCUGGGAAAUAGCCAAGUGAGACCAGGAAAAUCGGGAAGCUGUGAACAGGAAAUAAAGUGUCUACAUUUAUCCUUCCAGAAGAAAAGGGCCAUGACACUGCCCCACAAGGAAAAAAAAAAAAAAAAAAAUGAAUGCCAAGAGCAUCUCCUCCCAUGAUGACUUCUUUAACUGGAAUCGCAAAUCCAGAUAGCAAAUGGAUUAAUUCCGCAGCGAAGGGAGGAUCCUUGACUUCACAGAGACUUAACUGUACCUUUUGUUUAUCAGUGCAGUGAUUUGACGGUAAUUAUUAUAAUGCUGUGCCUUUAUCUUUGUCUAAUCAAUAGGUCUCUUGGGAUCUAUAGAUACAUGUUAUGGUGAUAAAGAAAGGACAUUUCAUGGAUAGAGGCAGCAGCGGGAGGGCGUACCAGAUUGUGGGAAGGCAAUAAAGCAUGGUAGUUCAAAGCAGGAAUU
rnacentral:lncRNA from 1 species